UGGUAAUUGGAAAUAACCCGAACCAAACGGUCACACAUGACCGAAGAAACAAAUAGGCAGAGUGAUCUGAUAUAAUAAGCUAUUUUUCACGCACCAUUUAACCACUCUCUAAAACCCCCCUUCUCCGAUUUAAGCUCUUUCCGGUCCCAAUUUUGCAGAUUCGACCGAUCUCGCAACAGUGUUUAAGGUUCUAGAAAAGGUUUCAGACCAAAGCAUAGAGGUUUUAGGUUUUUAUAGCGCCAGUUCUUUUCACUUGUGGCAUUAGGGUUUUUGUGACGUUUGGUUGAAGACUUUCUGUCUCCAUGGAUCUUUUUGACCUUAAUUCCGCUGAAAUGCUGAAGUUCUACUCUUAGGUAAGCAAGUUCACACUCCAAAUUCCAUUUCGAAACUUCACCAGGCUCAACGCUCGACGCUUUUUUUUCUCUCUCUCUCAAUCAUUCACUGUUAUGCGAGAUUGAAAAAAAAGACAGUGAGUUUUGAGCGUAAUGCAACUCUAAAUGAUGUCUUCUAGCAGCGUUUCACCAAAACCCCCACUCUCGUCAAUGGCUUUUCCAACCUCUACGCCAUGGAGGUGGAUCCUAUUAUUGAGCAUGAGGACAUGGGUGGCGCUGAUGGGAUGGACUCCUUGUUCUCCGAGCUCGCCGGCGCGAUUCCCGUGAUUGAUGAGGCCAUGAGCUUUGCACAGAUGUUGAAGGCUAUUGCAACGGAAGGAACAAAAAACAGAGUCUCAUUACUGACUAUACACUCAAAAUAUUGAGGCUUGAUAUUUGCAAAGAUACCAUUGUGGGUGAUGAAAUGCAGAGAGGUGUAUCUGGUGGCCAAAAGAAGCGUGUAUCCACGUCAGGACACUGCAUUUUGAUACCUGUGGAACUGCAAAGAGUACUUGGAUAAGGCAGUUCACAUUAUCCUGACAACUAAUAAUGAUCCACUAGGUCAAGCUUUAGCGGAAGAGCUGGCACGGCGCCUUGGGCGAGUAAGGGAAUAGAGGCUGCAAGGUAGCUGGAAUCUGAAGGCAUACAGACACAUUUAACCUUUGUCUACAGGAUCCAAAAGCCUUGGUCAAGACUCAUUCAUGUUUGUUCCUAAUGAGGAAAACUUGUUGUCACAUUCCCAGGUGUGCUCUUCAAUUCUGCAAGUCCCCGUCCCUGCAAAGAUGCUAUGAUUUGAAUUUUAACAUCAAUGGGUAUCAUCAUUCAGUUGUUGUUGUUGUUGUUGUUGUUGUUUUUCUUUACAGAGAAAGAUGGUUCAGUGAUGCAUGGACUGGAAAGUCUAUCUUGAACAACCAACCUUUGUAUCUGCUAUCAAAUCUUUCUUUUAUAAUAAGGAUGGAGGGAAUCAUAAAUGGCACUCUUCAAUCCUUAUUUUGUUACCUUAAAUAAAUGAAUAACUAAAUGUUAGAUGCUAGACACAGUAGUGUACCUUCUAUCAUAUUUGUAUUUCUUUGUAUUGUGGAAUAACUUUCACGUGCAUGUGCCUAAAGUAAUUGGUUAUGUCUCAGUGAAUUGAAACAUUCAAAGUAAUACAUAUAUUUUCCUUCUAUAUACUUAUAUGGCUAUUUGCUUCCACUGGGAUGUUUUGCAGCUUUCUUAUUUUUUCUUGGAUCUCCUUGAUUUGGAUGAGGAGGCUGGCAUGAUCCAGAAGUCAACUAACCAAAUUGAUCAAAAUGAGAAUGCUGAAGAACAAGCUAAUGCUGAGUCAACUAACCAAACUCUUAUGCCAGAUUUCAUGAAGCCAGCUCACAAUCAGUACGUUUACCGCCACGCCAAUGGCUUGAGUGUGAUUGGGUUGGCUCCUUCCCACAUUGCUUUCAAGAAUGAAGGUGGAAUCACAGCCGUUGAUUUCAAUGUUGGAAAGUCUGAUCGCAGUAGGAUAAAAGUCACUGGAAAGCAGAAGAAGGUGUCAAGGGGGAGGGGAUGAUGCAAUCCUAUCCCCAAGGGUAUUGGAUAGAAGACUCCAAG